GGUGAAAUUUCUCUGAGAGGUUGCUGAGUAUAAAGCCGGAAGAUUUCCGGCUUUAUACAUUA
rnacentral:sRNA from 1 species